rnacentral:rRNA from 1 species
AGUGAACGCUGGCGGUAGGCCUAACACAUGCCAGUCGAACGGCAGCACAGUAAGAGCUUGCUCUUACGGGUGGCGAGUGGCGGACGGGUGAGGAAUACAUCGGAAUCUACUUUUUCGUGGGGGAUAACGUAGGGAAACUUACGCUAAUACCGCAUACCACCUACGGGUGAAAGCAGGGGAUCUUCGGACCUUGCGCGAUUGAAUGAGCCGAUGUCGGAUUAGCUAGUUGGCGGGGUAAAGGCCCGCCAAGGCGACGAUCCGUAGCUGGUCUGAGAGGAUGAUCAGCCACACUGGAACUGAGACACGGUCCAGACUCCUACGGGAGGCAGCAGUGGGGAAUAUUGGACAAUGGGCGCAAGCCUGAUCCAGCCAUACCGCGUGGGUGAAGAAGGCCUUCGGGUUGUAAGGCCCUUUUGUUGGGAAAGAAAAGCAGCAGGUUAAUACCCCGCUGUUCUGACGGUACCCAAAGAAUAAGCACCGGCUAACUUCGUG